ensembl:lncRNA
CCAGUCUGUACUCAUAUCUAGGAGGAAGCCUCAUGAAGUGAUCUUGGAUUUGCUCUGCACUUAGACUGAGAAGGAUUUUGCUUCCCAUCCUCUGCUUGUAAGUUCAGGGACAUGAGAGGCUUGGGAAGCCUGUCUGGCAGUGAAGACCAAGGCAAGGAAUUCAUUAUCUCAGCCUUCUCCUUUGCCUGUCUCUUAUGACCAGUGUACCUAAAGAAACCCUUCUUGUUUUUUACAUCCCUUGCCAAGUCUAAUUUGGUCUGUGCCUUGGCUUUCCUGUUUUCAUCUCUGCACAUCUUGACAGCAUCCCUGUGUUCCUCCCAGGCCACCCAUCUCCACUUCCACUGCUUCUAUUUUUCCUUCUUUUCCCUCAGCCUUUCCAGAAGGUCCUUGCUCAGUGACACUGGUUUCCUGCUACCUUUUCCUAAUUUCUUAUUUUGGAGGAUGGAGAGCUCUUGUGCUCUCAGAAUCAUAGAAUGUUUUGGAUUGGAAAGAACCUUUAAGAUAACUUAGUUUCAACCCCCCUGCUAUAGGCAGGGACACCUCCCACUAGGCCAGGAUGCUCACAGCCCCAUCCAGCCUGGCUUUGAAUGCCUCCAGGGAGGAGGCAUCCACAACCUCACUAAGCAACCUGUUCCAGUGCCUCACCACCGACACAGUAAAGAAUUUCAUUCUAAUUACUAGUCUAAAUCUACCCUCUUCCAGUUUAAUAUCAUUUCUCCUUGUCCUCUUGCUACAUGUCCUUAUAUAAAGUCCCACUCAAGCUUUCCUGUAGGCCCCCUGCAGGUACUAGAAGGCUGUUAUAAGAUCCCCCUGGAGCCUUCUCUUCUCCGUGUUGAAAAGCUCCAGCUCUCUCAGCCUGUCCUCAGUAGAGGAGGUGCUCCAGCCCUCUGAUCAUCUUUGUGGCCCUCCUCUGGACCUGCUCUAGCAGCUCCAUGUCCUUCUUGUGUUGGGGGCUCCGGAACUGGAUGCAGUGCUCCAGGUGGGGUCUCAAGAGGGCAGAGUAGAAGGGGAGCAUCACGUCUCUAGACGUGCUAGUCACACUUCUCUUGAUGCAACGCAGGAUACGGUUGGCCUUCUGGGCUACAUGCACACACUGAUGGCUCAUGUUGAGUCUUCAAUCAACCUAAACCCCAAAAUCCUUCUCCUCAGGGCUGCUCUCAAGCCAUACCGUGCCCAGUCUAUAUCUGUGCUUGGAUUUCCUUCUAAUGUUCCCACUUCACCGUCUAUCUUAGUGUCAUCAGCAAACUUUGGGAAGGUGCUUUUAAUUUCAGCACACAGGCUAUUUAUGAAGGUGGUGAACCUCAUAGGGCCUAGUAUGGAUCCCUAGAGGAACCCACUUGACUAGCUGCCAGACUGAGCAAAAGCCCUCUGAGUGUAGCUCGUCUGCCAGUUCCCUGCUCAUCUCACAGACCACUCAUCUAGUCUGUAUGUUACCAGUUUGUCUGUGGGAAACAGUGCCAAAUGCUUUGCUGAAAUAAAACAAUAUGUUGAACAAUAUCCAUUGCUCUCCCCACUGUCCACAAGAAGUUUUACUUUGUUGUAGAGGGUAAUGUGGUUAGUCCAGCAAGUGUGGCCUUCAGAAAGUCUGUGUUGACUUUUCCCAAUCACAACUUCACUUGGCUUUAGUCUUGUUACACCUGUCCUUUCCUUGUCAUGUAUAAUGUAAGAUACGCUUUUGAAAUGGUAAUAAAUACAUGA